rnacentral:rRNA from 1 species
UCCACCGAUUGACUAAGGUUUCCAGAGGAAGGCUCGUCCGCUCUGGGUUAGUCGGGUCCUAAGCUGAGGCCGACAGGCGUAGGCGAUGGAUAACAGGUUGAUAUUCCUGUACCACCUAUAAUCGUUUUAAUCGAUGGGGGGACGCAGUAGGAUAGGCGAAGCGUGCGAUUGGAUUGCACGUCUAAGCAGUAAGGCUGAGUAUUAGGCAAAUCCGGUACUCGUUAAGGCUGAGCUGUGAUGGGGAGAAGACAUUGUGUCUUCGAGUCGUUGAUUUCACACUGCCGAGAAAAGCCUCUAGAUAGAAAAUAGGUGCCCGUACCGCAAACCGACACAGGUAGUCAAGAUGAGAAUUCUAAGGUGAGCGAGCGAACUCUCGUUAAGGAACUCGGCAAAAUGACCCCGUAACUUCGGGAGAAGGGGUGCUCUUUAGGGUUAACGCCCAGAAGAGCCGCAGUGAAUAGGCCCAAGCGACUGUUUAUCAAAAACACAGGUCUCUGCUAAACCGUAAGGUGAUGUAUAGGGGCUGACGCCUGCCCGGUGCUGGAAGGUUAAGAGGAGUGGUUAGCUUCUGCGAAGCUACGAAUCGAAGCCCCAGUAAACGGCGGCCGUAACUAUAACGGUCCUAAGGUAGCGAAAUUCCUUGUCGGGUAAGUUCCGACCCGCACGAAAGGCGUAACGAUUUGGGCACUGUCUCAACGAGAGACUCGGUGAAAUCAUAGUACCUGUGAAGAUGCAGGUUACCCGCGACAGGACGGAAAGACCCCGUGGAGCUUUACUGUAGCCUGAUAUUGAAAUUCGGCACAGCUUGUACAGGAUAGGUAGGAGCCUUUGA